GGAGGGCGCAAGCGUUGUUCGGAAUUACUGGGCGUAAAGCGCGUGUAGGGCGGGUUCGGGAAAGUCGGGUGUGAAAGCCCGGGGCUCAACCCCGGAAUUGCACUCGAAACUGCCGGGCUAGAGUCCCGGAGAGGAGGGCAGAAUUCCCAGUGUAGGGGUGAAAUCCGUAGAUAUUGGGAGGAAUACCAGUGGCGAAGGCGGCCCUCUGGACGGUGACUGACGCUGAGACGCGAAAGCGUGGGGAGCAAACAGGAUUAGAUGCCCUGGUAGUCCACGCCGUAAACGUUGCGCACUAGGUGUCGGGGGUAUUCACCCCUCCGGUGCCGACGGUAACCCAUUAAGUGCGCCGCCUGGGGAGUACGGCCGCAAAGGCUA
rnacentral:rRNA from 1 species